GUGUGUGUUACCAUGGCUACUUCCCUCCCUUCACAAGUGUGACAUCACAUCCUUCUGGCUCUGAGUUGUGGAUGAGAGUGCUGUAGGAAUGAAACCGGUGUGGGCUGGAAGCGGUGCUCCCUUAUCUCUCCAAGGUCAAUAGUAAAGGCUUUAGCCAGAGCCACUUAAUUAGCAGCAGAAUGGGGAGCAAAUUCUAGUACAGGAGGUUUUGAACUAUAAAGUCCAUAGAAUUCCUUCUAAUUUAUGGCCCCACACUGUUCCUUGGUGGGGAACGACUUCCUUUCUCCUAGGUUAAAUGCACAUAUGAUGUGUAGCAUAUAACGUUAUGACUUAAGAGGAGAAGCUUUAUUAUACUGUAUAGCCUUAGGGGCUACGCAAGAGCACCAUCAGGGACAGCACUCCAGAGAACACCCGUAUCCCAGGCAGAAGACUUCCAGCCGCCUUCACCACAGGGAAUGCUGUGAACUAGAAUCUGGAAACUUCAGCCAGGUCUCCAGGAGCACAGAAUGAUCCCAGCUGGCGGUUGAGAAUCUGCGCAAAGAUUUCUUUUAAAAAGUGUGGUCUUUAAAUCCAAGUCUCCGAUGCUGCCCGACACAUAGGAUGCUUGAUAAAUUUGUCUGCAGAAUGAAGGGAGAUCUGUCCACGGGGAACGACCAUUAUUCCACUUCUGUAUAAAUCAUCGCGAAGAGAUGCCCAGUGGUGAUAAAUUGGCUUCAGACCAUAUAUUUCCUCAGUAGGGAAGAAGUUUUCUCAGUGCUGUAGAUUUCCAGGCUGUCCCUCCAGCCCCAGUGAGAACAGCACAUUUCCCCACUGUGGCGAGCGCAGACAGCACAGGUUGCAAUGGGACCACACACCGCUAUGCCUC